UGGGUCGCACAGAGUCGGACACAACUGAAGCGACUUAGCAGCAAGGGACUCUCAGCUGUUCCAGCAACUAGCAUGAUGCAAGGGAGAAAAAAGUUCACAGAACACCAGAGCACAAACUUGAGGAAACACUUGUUCUCAAGCUCCUACACAAGGCGACUCUGCACAAAGCAGGGAUUCAGUAUGUAAUUGUUCAAUAAAUCAAUCAGCAUUUUCCAAAAGCUA